rnacentral:rRNA from 1 species
AGCCAACGCUGGCGGCAGGCCUAACACAUGCAAGUCGAACGAACUCUUCGGAGUUAGUGGCGGACGGGUGAGUAACACGUGGUAACGUUCCUUUUGGUUCGGAAUAACUCAGGGAAACUUGUGCUAAUACCGAAUGUGCCCUUCGGGGGAAAGAUUUAUCGCCAUUAGAGCGGCCCGCGUCUGAUUAGCUAGUUGGUGAGGUAACGGCUCACCAAGGCGACGAUCAGUAGCUGGUCUGAGAGGAUGACCAGCCACACUGGGACUGAGACACGGCCCAGACUCCUACGGGAGGCAGCAGUGGGGAAUCUUGCGCAAUGGGCGAAAGCCUGACGCGGCCAUGCCGCGUGAAUGAUGAAGGUCUUAGGAUUGUAAAAUUCUUUCACCGGGGACGAUAAUGACGGUACCCGGAGAAGAAGCCCCGGCUAACUUCGUG